rnacentral:rRNA from 1 species
UACGGGGGGGGCAAGCGUUGUUCGGAAUUACUGGGCGUAAAGGGCUCGUAGGUGGCCAACUAAGUCAGACGUGAAAUCCCUCGGCUUAACCGGGGAACUGCGUCUGAUACUGGAUGGCUUGAGUUUGGGAGAGGGACGCGGAAUUCCAGGUGUAGCGGUGAAAUGCGUAGAUAUCUGGAGGAACAUCAGUGGCGAAGGCGGCUGCCUGGCCCAAUACUGACACUCAGGUGCGACAGCGUGGGGAGCAAACAGG